AGCUAGGGUGGCUUAGUGGUUAGAGCAUCCUCCUUGGAUGCAGAAGGUCUUGGGUUUGACCUCCCGACUAAGUCA